rnacentral:rRNA from 1 species
GCAAACCGACACAGGUGGGUAGGGUGAGAAUCCUAAGGCGCUUGAGAGAACUCAGGAGAAGGAACUCGGCAAAUUAACACCGUAACUUCGGGAGAAGGUGUGCCCUUGUAGGGUGAAGUCCCUUGCGGAUGGAGCUCGAAAAGGGUUGCAGUGAAAAGGUGGCUGCGACUGUUUAUUAAAAACACAGCACUCUGCAAACACGAAAGUGGACGUAUAGGGUGUGACGCCUGCCCGGUGCUGGAAGAUUAAAUGAUGGGGUGCAAGCUCUUGACUGAAGUCCCAGUAAACGGCGGCCGUAACAAUAACGGUCCUAAGGUAGCGAAAUUCCUUGUCGGGUAAGUUCCGACCCGCACGAAUGGCGUAACGAUGGCCACACUGUCUCCUCCUGAGACUCAGCGAAGUUGAAAUGUUUGUGAAGAUGCAAUCUCCCCGCUGCUAGAC